CAGUAGCCACGGGAAUACGGAGGGUGCAAGCGUUAAUCGGAAUUACUGGGCGUAAAGCGCACGCAGGCGGUCUGACAAGUCAGAUGUGAAAUCCCCGGGCUUAACCUGGGAACUGCAUUUGAAACUGUCAGGCUGGAGUCUUGUAGAGGGGGGUGGAAUUCCAGGUGUAGCGGUGAAAUGCGUAGAGAUCUGGAGGAAUACCGGUGGCGAAGGCGGCCCCCUGGACAAAGACUGACGCUCAGGUGCGAAAGCGUGGGGAGCAAACAGGAUUAGAUACCCCAGUAGUCCCUGUCUCUAUACC
rnacentral:rRNA from 1 species